CUGGACACGUGGACAUCCACUAAGGCGUGGCGAGACACCCGCCUUGAACAAGCACAGUGUGACGAGAUAUCCAUUGUUAAAAGCGAAUACGAUUAUCCAAGAUUCACCGGAAUGGAAACCAUCCUACGACCAGGGAAGAGCGCAGUCCAGUUUGAUUUACUUCAUGCUGACCGAAGCUACAACAGCGGAAAUCGAGGAGGUUUGCGAUUAUGCAGCAAAUUUCGAUAGCUAUUGAUCGGAAUCCAACUAAUAAUCUGCAUCUGAGAACCUUUAUCGAAAAUCCUGAUAUUCCGCGCUUGCCCGCCGGAGUCCUUUACGAAAAAUUUAGCAACGGUGGCACGCGGUGCUGGUUUGUUGAUCAAGACGGUCAAAAACUUCGGCAUCAUGAGUAACGUGCCGCGGAUUGGAGCUUGAUGCCAUUUCCAAUCCAAAAACAAUCGCCGUGCCCGUCACCUGAGACGAGUGGGGAAUUAUUAUAGCCCACGGCAAGGCUGUGUUGCUCAAAAGGUGGACCGAUAAUCAACGUUUUUCAGUUACGAGCUAACGGCGCUUCCAUCAGCGAUUUCAAGUGGCCAAAAUUAUUCAUCGAAGGUGCAUGUGCAUGUUCCUAGGCGUAUUGAUCAGCCCAAGGACAUUUUGUGAUGGUCACAUUUUCAUUGGAUGCUUCAGAUGAAUGCAUAAGCGUUGGUGAGCGAACACCCAUUUGUUUUUAGACGCUCUCAGAGGUCGGAUACCUUCACUUACCACCAGAUGUCGGUCGGAAAAAUGUAGUUAUCUACCGCCUUUAAUCUGCCGGAGAAAGGAGACUAGCUGUUUCUGAGUAACCAUAAGUUCAACAUCGAGUCGAAGAUUCCAUACCUGCCAGAGUAGUGAGAUUGGCCGCAGUGCAUCGAAUGAAUUUUCUGGAUAUAUCCCAAGAGUUAAACUACGCAACAGGAUUUGGCAGCCGACUUUAUGCUUAAGCUGCAUAAGCGUUCUGAAUGAUACGUCGCAAGCGUCAAUGAUAAAGGCAGAUAACAAUCGUACGGGUGCUGAAAAUCAUCCCGAUAUGGAACUACAACGCUGCACGGGGAAUAGACUACAUCACAUUUGUAAAAAAUGCGAUGAUUCCACGGCGAUUGUUUGAUUCUAUGCUCGCCAAAUUUCGCGCGAACACAAACGAUUGCUGGCGAAUACAGUACCAGCAACAAAAAAAACCAUCUCCACCCCGUCUGGGGCUGAGUAAAUGGCUUGAAGUUUGUACAAACAGCACCAUACACCAUGCCAUAGACAACACAAAUGGCGUGUGCAAAUUCGAUGAUUCCAAGACGAUUGUUUGAUCUAUGCUCGCCCACACACGAUACAAACGUAUUUAGCGCGAACACAAACGAUGGCUGACGAUAACACUAACAACAAAAAACCACCGCCACCCCUACUGGGACUGAGUAAAUUUCCUGAAUAUUGUACAAACAGCACCGUACACUAUGCCACAGAGGGUGGUUUGUGCAAAAUAUUUCGA